GACGAACGCUGGCGGCGUGCUUAACACAUGCAAGUCGAACGGAAAGGCCCUGCUUUUGUGGGGUGCUCGAGUGGCGAACGGGUGAGUAACACGUGAGUAACCUGCCCUUGACUUUGGGAUAACUUCAGGAAACUGGGGCUAAUACCGGAUAGGAGCUCCUGCUGCAUGGUGGGGGUUGGAAAGUUUCGGCGGUUGGGGAUGGACUCGCGGCUUAUCAGCUUGUUGGUGGGGUAGUGGCUUACCAAGGCUUUGACGGGUAGCCGGCCUGAGAGGGUGACCGGCCACAUUGGGACUGAGAUACGGCCCAGACUCCUACGGGAGGCAGCAGUGGGGAAUAUUGCACAAUGGGCGGAAGCCUGAUGCAGCAACGCCGCGUGCGGGAUGACGGCCUUCGGGUUGUAAACCGCUUUCGCCUGUGACGAAGCGUGAGUGGCGGUAAUGGGUAAAGAAGCACCGGCUAACUGCGUG
rnacentral:rRNA from 1 species